rnacentral:tRNA from 1 species
GCGCAAGUGAUUGAAUGAGGCUGAACAACACGGGAUUGAAAAUCCGCGUGUCGGUGGUUCAAAUCCGCCUUCGGGCACCA